AGUUCGAUCAUGGCUCAGGACGAACGCUGGCGGCAUGCCUAACACAUGCAAGUCGAACGGAGUUGUUAUUCAGAAGUUCUUCGGGAUGGAAGGAUAAGAACUUAGUGGCGGACGGGUGAGUAACGCGUGGGUAACCUGCCCUUUUGUGGGGAACAACUUCGAGAAAUCGGAGCUAAUACCGCAUAAUAAUAGAGGAUCGCAUGAUUCUUUAAGGAAAGAUGGCCUCUGAAGAUGCUAUCGCAAAAGGAUGGACCCGCGUCUGAUUAGCUAGUUGGAAGGGUAACGGCCUACCAAGGCAACGAUCAGUAGCCGGCCUGAGAGGGUGAACGGCCACAUUGGGACUGAGACACGGCCCAAACUCCUACGGGAGGCAGCAGUGGGGAAUCUUCCGCAAUGGGCGAAAGCCUGACGGAGCAAUGCCGCGUGAGUGAAGAAGGCCUUCGGGUUGUAAAACUCUGUCCUUAUCGAAGAGAGGUAGGUAUGUGAAUAAUGUACCUAUAGGACGGUAGAUAAGGAGGAAGCCCCGGCUAACUACGUGCCAGCAGCCGCGGUAAUACGUAGGGGGCGAGCGUUGUCCGGAAUCACUGGGCGUAAAGGGCGCGUAGGCGGUUUAAUAAGUCAGUGGUGAAAACUGAGGGCUCAACCCUCAGCCUGCCACUGAUACUGUUAGACUUGAGUAUGGAAGAGGAGAAUGGAAUUCCUAGUGUAGCGGUGAAAUGCGUAGAUAUUAGGAGGAACACCAGUGGCGAAGGCGAUUCUCUGGGCCAAGACUGACGCUGAGGCGCGAAAGCGUGGGGAGCAAACAGGAUUGGAUACCCUGGUAGUCCACGCCGUAAACGAUGGAUACUAGGUGUUAGUAGUUUCGAUGCUACUAGUGCCGGAGUAAACACAAUAAGUAUCCCGCCUGGGGAGUACGGUCGCAAGACUGAAACUCAAAGGAAUUGACGGGGGCCCGCACAAGCGGUGGAGCAUGUGGUUUAAUUCGACGCAACGCGAAGAACCUUACCAAGACUUGACAUCCUCCUGACAAGAUAUGUAAUGUAUCUCUUUUCUUCGGAGACAGGAGAGACAGGUGGUGCAUGGUUGUCGUCAGCUCGUGUCGUGAGAUGUUGGGUUAAGUCCCGCAACGAGCGCAACCCUUAUUUCUAGUUGCCAGCAGUAAGAUGGGGACUCUAGAGAGACUGCCAGUGACAAACUGGAGGAAGGUGGGGAUGACGUCAAAUCAUCAUGCCCCUUAUGUCUUGGGCUACACACGUGCUACAAUGGUCAGAACAGAGGGAAGCGAAGCCGCGAGGUGGAGCAAAUCCCAGAAAACUGAUCUCAGUUCGGAUUGCAGGCUGCAACCCGCCUGCAUGAAGUCGGAAUCGCUAGUAAUCGCGGGUCAGCAUACCGCGGUGAAUACGUUCCCGGGCCUUGUACACACCGCCCGUCACACCACGAAAGUUAGUAACACCCGAAGCCGGUGGCCUAACCCGCAAGGGAGGGAGCUGUCGAAGGUGGGACUGAUGAUUGGGGUGAAGUCGUAACAAGGUAUCC
rnacentral:rRNA from 1 species